CUUAUAGGCUGAAACACUUUUAAUACAAACUUUCUAUUGAGCAAUUUUCCUUGUUCUUAUUUGCAAUUUACUUUAACUUGGAUUAGUUUAAGUAAAUUUAAGUUCCUAUGCUUUUCAUUCUUUUGGCUAAAGUUUGAAUGUGUUCUUAGGAACCCUUAGAUUUGUUUCGUGGUGUAUCUGUAUCGAAGCAACCUUUGGCAAGCCAUUUUCAGUUGAGAAAUCAACAUAUCCUUUUCAUUUUUCCGUUGUUAUAAAACCACAAAAAUCACGAAAAUAAAUUCAUUAGAACGAAAACAGCAAACUACGUGUGCGUAUAGCUUGGUUUUGUUUUGAGGCAUAGCCAACCUAUAUCACGGUACUCCUUGACUCCUUCCCUUAUCUCUCCUCCCGGAAGGCCAGAACACAGACGCAGACCACGACUUCCUCUCUCUCUCUCCUCUAUUGAAGCGUACUCGAAAUUCUCCAUUGAAGGGGCUUCUGAGCUUUCUCUACUCCACUGAAGCAGUCUCAAAGGGUUUGGUUUGUGGUCUUGUGGAGCGUACUCGAAAUUCUCCAUUGAAGCGGCUUCUGACUUUCUGAGCUUUCUCUCCUCCAUUGAAGAAUUUGAAGCAGUCUCUAAGGGAUAUGGGGAUAGAGAGAGAGCAGAGUAGCACAUCCGAAGCCGAAAGAGAGGAAAAAAGGAUUGUGAUGCUGGCACUAAGCAAUGAAGGCUUGCCUUCAGAAAGACUACAAGGUGGUACUCAAUUAUAUCACACUCGUGCAGAAUGUCACUCGGUGGAUCUGAAGCACAAAUCAGCCAUUAUUUGCAAUAUAUUUGACUAAUCUUCAAAUGAUAUUUUGGGGCUGACAAGUAGAUAAGAUCUUCAUGAUAUAUCCCACACAAUCUUCAAGAAAUAGUGCUCAAAAUUUCAGCUGCAAGUGGUGUCUCAAACGGCUUGAUUUUGCUGAAUACUAUUUAAUCUUUCUUGAUCCACUUGCUGACUUUUUCUUGAAUAAAAUAUUCAUGAAAUUUUAAUAUAUUCUUCAUAUUUCCUUGA